rnacentral:ncRNA from 1 species
GUGUUGUAUGAAAGGAGAGAAAGUUAGCACUCCCCUGGACAAGGUCGGACAACACACAUGGCUGAUGUAGCACACAUAACAUCAGCCCACAUUUUUUU